AAACUUUGUUGUAGCCAGUUUUGAGUCUAUUUUAGCCAAUCCAGGUACGUUCAUUGUGUCUAAACCUCUUUUCCUUUUCUUUCUUUUUAUGCAUUUAAUAUCUGCUUUUAUGAGCAUCAGCCAUGGUGCAGGAUUCAGCUCAGCUCUAAUGAGAAGACAAAGGUCAUGAAGCCAUAGUCCUAACCACCCGGAGUUUAUAAUCUGAUGCAGAAAAGGGACUGGUAACAUCUAACAGCAAGACAGAGUGUCUGGUGUCAUGAUGAAGACACAGAGUGAAAUGUUUAAUUUAGGGAAGCCUUCAUAAGAAGAGCGGUGUUUUAAUGAACCCAUGAUGGGUUAAGGGUGCCAGUAAUGGACAGGGAAUGAUGUCGAGACCGUAGAGCGGAAGCUCAAUGCCUAGAGCAUUCCAAGGUUAGACUCUGAAGUAAGACUAACUCCGCCUAGACCCUUUCUAAUGUGUCUGACACUUGGUCAAGAAAAGAUAGACAUGUAAGGAAUCAAGAUAAGGGUACUGGAAAAUCAAGAGAAGAAACAGACAGUAUAAGAAACCUAUCAGGAAUCUUGAAAAUGAAGUUUUCAUACAUGGAUUUUAAAGUCCAACUGUAAGGACAAUAAUAAAAAGAUGAACAAACUGGAAAAAAGACCUGAAAUGACAUUCAUCGAAUUAUCAAGAGUAGUUCUCUCUGUAAGUAGAUUUAAGGGGUAAUGAGUGCUUUUACUUUAUGCUACACUUGUUGGAUCGUUUUACAUUUUUAAUUAUGAUGGUGUAUUAUAUUGGUAAUGAUGAAAAUACUUGAAAAUAAUGAAAAACUCCAAUCCCACAUAUCUAUUUCCACAGACCUUUGAAUAUCCAUUGUCCGCACUACAUCUGUUAUUAAUCAGCCCCUUCUUUACCCACCCACUCCUAUGGCAAGAGACCCUGACUUUUAGAUGCCUAUAUCACCCUUCAUGGAACAUUUGAAAAAUGCUACUGUUCUAGUUCAUCUGGGACAGGUAAAGGGAGUCAAACUUACUUUAUGGUUUCAGAUUUUUGGGUUAUGCAUAGAAAGAAUUUUUUUGCUCCAAUCUUUUACAUGUAGGAUGUUUUGACCCCACCAUUAUGUAAUCAACACAAAUUAAAGCUGACAGUUACAAGUGCACGUGGUAAGGUAAGUUAUUAACUAGCUGCUUCCAGAAAGAUAAAUCUUCUUGACAAAUUUAUAUCUGCAGUAUUUGACUUGGGAAAAAUUUUGACUUGAUGAAAACAAUGGUCAUAGGAGAAAACUAAGAGCAGCAGAAGCUCUUUAAUUGGUAAGAUUUGAUAAGGAUAAAACAACUUGCAAUUAUAAGAUUUACAUUAACAAAAAACUUGGUCUCAGUGAACAGAAUUUUUGAUAUGGAAAUGAUGAUAAUUAGAGAAAUAUUUUCAUUAUGCUAUCUAGCAAAUUGGUCAAGGGGAAAUAACAAUAGUUUAAUUCUAGAAUAUUUCUCAAGGAAAAUUCAUCAGUGUUGGUAAAAUUAUGAUAUUAAAAAUUGCUUGAAUUGAUAAAAUCAGAGUGAAAAGGUUCUUGGGGCCAAAUCAGUGAAGUGAAGAUUAUCCUUUUCUUUGGAGAUCAUGCUUUAUUUUCUAAAUGAGCGGCUUAGUAUUCUGACACCAUGUAUGUAGGCAAGUGAUCAAUUCUCACAACUGGUCUGAAAUGAACUUUUUUCAUUUACUGAAAUUUCAUACUUGGGUCUACGUCUGGACUUUAUUUCUUUUAUGUGCUUACUUAAUCUGCACUGUUUUUAAUUAUGGUAGAUUUAAAGUAACCUUGAUAUCUAGUUAAGUAACCUUCUUUUGCCCCCCAUUAGAGUGAUUUUUUAAAAACAUUUUCUUAGUUCUCUCACAUUUACUCUUUCAGGGAACUUCAGUAUCAGCUAGUUAAAUAGACCAGAUUUUAAAUAAAAAGCUGGAUGAUUAAAAAAAAAAAAAGCUGGGUGAUUAUAGACAUUUUAGUUGUAAUCUCCUACUUAAUUUUUUAAAUAUCUUGGCUCAAUUUUAUUUAUAUUUAUAUCCAUCUAAUCUUUAUACAUCUAUAUCUAUACUUAUAUAUGUAGAUAUCUGCGUGUAUGUAUUUAUUUGGUUUUUAGCCU